UUAGAUUUUAUUUAUUAAUUAUUUAUUAUUUUUUGUAAAAUUAUUAAAAAUAAUUAUAAAAUAAAAAGUUUUAGUAUUGUUUAAAGAAAAAAUAAAUUUAAUAAUAGUUUAAUAGUAUUGUAAAAGAAAAUUGAAAUAAUUUGAAAAAAUUUUAUUAUAAAAGAAAAUUUAAUUUAUUGUACCUUGUGUAUCAGCGUUUAUUAAAUAAAAAAUAAUUAUAAUUAUUUUUCUCGAUUUUAAAAGAGUUAAUAUAAUAUAAAAGUUAAUGUGAUAAAAUUAUUUUAAAUAUUAUAUUAGAAAUGAAAUGUUAUUCGUUUUUAAAGGUAUCUAGUUUUUCAAGAAAUAAAUUUAAUUUAAAAAUUAUAAAUUUAUUUUAAAAAUUUUUUAAUAAAAUAAUUUUAUAAUUUUAAUAUUUUAUGGGAUAAGCUAUAAAAUAAAUUAUUAAAAAUAAUAAAUAAAUUUAAUAAAUAUAUGUUUAGAAUUAGCAAUUGUUAAUAAUUAUGUUAUAAUUUAUUUUAUAAAUAAAAUUAUUUAUUAAAUUUUAAUUAUUUAUUGAAAUAUUAAUUUUAAUUUUUAAAAUUAAGUAAUAAUGAUAGAAUUAGUAUAUAUUAUUGUAAAAAUAAAUAUAAAUGAAAAGUUUAAAUAAAG
rnacentral:rRNA from 1 species